AGGCAGACCGAGGGUUUGACUCAGAUGCUGACUCCAGGACUGAUAAACUUCUCAUCCUCACAUAGUCUCUGCCUGUGGCUCUGACUUCAUGGCAGUAUCAGCAGGUUGGGAGGAAAAAGCCAAGAAGGCCUAUGGAGUUUUGAGAAGGAACAGGACACAGGGGACGUCCUAGGCAGCAGGGCAUCCUCAGGAGAAGCCAAGGAUACUUCUCAGUUUUUAAAGGAAAGAAAAAGUUUUUCACUUAAGCCUGUGAAGAACUGCAUGCUCUAGAAGUCUACACAAAAGGAAACAGGAAAAGGGAUGAAGAAUCCUGAAACCCAGGAGUAGCCCUGUUUGUACCCGAAUAUAGGUGCCUAGAGUGAAGGUCAGCAUGGUGAGAGAAACACAUUACCCACCCAAGAGUUUCUGUUCUCCUGACUUCCAUGCUUCUCUUUAGUGUUUUACCAAAAAAAUGUUAUAUCCAGUUUCCUUCUCCAAGAAAAUGACUGAACUUUAUCAUCCCAGAUACACUGACCAGCCUGGAGGAAUGGGAGCACAAGAAGGUGACAUUCUGGAGAGCCAGGGGUCAGAAGAACAGUCACAAGAAAUAAGAAAGUUGAGGCCAACAGAGCUACACAGCUGCAUGCUAACAAAGCUGCAAUCCUAAUCCAUGCUUGCC